AAGCUCGUAGUUGAAUUUCGGGGUUCUACCGUUGGUCGGGCUAACCAGUCUGUACUAGCGUGUAGAAUUCCUACCUUCUGGGGAACCAUCAUGUUAUUAAUUUAGCGUGGUGGGAAACCAGGACCUUUACCUUGAAAAAAUUAGAGUGUUCAAAGCAGGCUUACGUCUGAAUACAUUAGCAUGGAAUAAUAAAAUAGGACGGUGGUCCUGUUUUGUUGGUUUCUGAAUCACCGUAAUGAUUAAUAGGGAUAGUUGGG
rnacentral:rRNA from 1 species